GCCCAGCCGUAAACAAUUAAUUUACACCUAAAAUCGCCUGGGGACUACGAGCGAAGCUUAAAACCCAAAGGACUUGACGGUGUCCCACCCACCUAGAGGAGCCUGUCCUAUAAUCGAUAAUCCCCGUUCAACCUCACCAUUUCUUGCUUUACAGUCUGUAUACCGCCGUCUAAAGCUCACCAUGUGAACGAUUAAAGUCAGCGAAAUGGUCUUACCCACCAACACGUCAGGUCAAGGUGCAGCUAACGAAAUGGGAAGAGAUGGGCUACAAUUUCUAAUAUAGAACAUACGGAUUAUUAGGUGAAACCCCUGAUAUGAAGGUGGAUUUAGUAGUAAAAAGAAAGUAGAGUGUUCUUUUUAACUUGGCUCUGGGACGCGUACACACCGCCCGUCACCCCCCUCGAUAGUAAUAUUUCUAGUACAUAACAAGUAAUCCGCGCCUU
rnacentral:rRNA from 1 species